rnacentral:rRNA from 1 species
UACAGAGGGUGCGAGCGUUGUCCGGAAUCACUGGGCGUAAAGGGCGCGUAGGCGGCCUGAUAAGUCGGGGGUGAAAUCCUGUGGCUUAACUGCAGGGCUGCCUCCUAGACUGUUAGGCUCGAGCACGGUAGAGGCAGAUGGAAUUCCCGGUGUAGCGGUGGAAUGCGUAGAGAUCGGGAAGAACAUCGGUGGCGAAGGCGGUCUGCUGGGCCGUUGCUGACGCUGAGGCGCGAAAGCGUGGGGAUCAAACAGG